CAGUUCAACUCCAAGGAGACUUCCCACCCCCAGAUAGCAUCAACAUUUUCACUUUAAGAGUGUGCAUAAUACCACUUCCCAAGUACAAUGAUUGUUUUUGUGGAUGAAGGCAGCAGGAAUUUAGAAGAAUUUGGCUAGAACACUGGAAGAAGCUCCAUUCUUACAUAAUAUCACUUCUUAAAAAUAAUCCACCUGAACAAAUAGACUGGAUCUUCUUUUUGAUAUCUGAAAAAAUGCAAUUUGGGCUUCCCCGGCACUACACUAGAGCGCGCAUAGUAACAAACUGACAAGUUAUUUAACAGAAUAGAAAAGUACUGGUGUGGUACCGUGUGAUUGUUGACUCCAGCUUGUCAAGUCAUUCCUGGGAAUUGCAUCUCUUAAGUGCUUCCAUUAUGAAAUUAACCAAUUAUAUGUCUUCUGAUGUUUUAAUUGCAGAGCAAAUCACAUAAGACAUUUAAUUUAUAAUGCCUUUUAAGUACAGUAAACUGAUAACUUGUCACUUCAAGGAAAAGGGGCUCACUGACGAGUUAUCCAAAGUGGUGAGUUAGGCAUAUGUAUAUAAAUCAAUAAAUGCGGCAGGGAUAUUGAUAGCUUAAUGAUUAAGUGGUAGUGAAAGUUAAGCCAGGGUCGACUUAUCAGAAAUCAUAUUAAAAUCCUAGGGAAAUUGAUCAUCAAAUAAGCUAAUUUAGAAGAUGUUUGCAAAUGUAGUGAAUCAAAUACUGUAUUGAUCCAAGGUCUAAGACUUACAAUUCACAAAUGCAUUAAUUUGUCAUUUUGGUGCUGUGAUGGAUUAUUUCUGCCUGAGGGUGUUAAAGGAUGGGGUUGAACUGCAACCCUAAAACAUGUAUUUCUCUUAUUAGGGUUGGAAGUGUCCUACUUAACUGGUUUUGAGAGUACAAGCUCAGAAAGGAUCAAGUGAUGAUUAAAAGAGGGAAAAUAAAUGGCAGAAGUGAAAAAAAGAAUAUUAAAUAACAUGAAAGCAAAAAGGGAGAUAGGUAAAGAGACCUAAGUUUUUUUUGGAAAAUGUUUGGAUUCCCAUAACAAUUUAUUGUGCUUAUCUUGAAAUUAUCUAUAGUAAGGGUUUUAAACUCAGAAUAAAUUGACUUUGGGUGGUGCUACCAUAUAUAAACCCAACUUAUUUUGACCCACCUGAAUAAAUUUAGGCAGAAUACAGUUGAUAUAUGUAUUUUUUUUGAUAAGGUGACAUACUAAAACACUAGCUAAGAAAAUUAAAGCAGGCUAUUAAACAUUAAUUGGAAAAUACUGUAGUUAGAAG